AUACGUAGGAGGCAAGCGUUGUCCGGAUUUAUUGGGCGUAAAGGGCGUGUAGGCGGCAUGGGAAGUCCUUGGUGAAAGCUCCCGGCUCAACUGGGAGAGGUCCCCGGAUACUGGCGGACUUGAGGGAGGCAGAGGAAAGUGGAAUUCCCGGUGUAGUGGUGAUAUGCGUAGAUAUCGGGAGGAACACCAGUGGCGAAGGCGGCUUUCUGGGCCUUACCUGACGCUGAGACGCGAAAGCGUGGGGAGCGAACCGGAUUAGAAACCCCGGUAGUCC
rnacentral:rRNA from 1 species